AAUAGAACUGUUGUUAGCUAAACGGUAAUUCAACAUUUAAUUCAUCUCACACUCACACUACUUGGGAAGAAUACGUGACGAUAAACAUGUGCUUCGAAACGAAAUUUGGAUGUUAAUAGAACUGUUGUUAGCUAAACGUGUCUGCCUCAGCUGUAGUUCAGCAUGUUGGGUGCAAGUAGCCAGCAAUGGCACCACUAAAGAGGCAGUCACAUUGGUGAACAUCCGAGAAGCACAAAGCAUUCGGAAGUCAGGGAGACAAAAGAAGAUUCCAAAAAUCUGCACCGAUGAUUUUUUAUGGACAAAAUCCCUCCAAACAAAAUUGAGAUCAAUACCCGUCAUGCGAAGCAAUGUGCAGAUUGCUGAACAUGUUAGUCCCUCGUGGGAGUGUGUUAGGCCCAUUACUGUUUCUCAUUUGCAUUUCCCACUGUGGAUCACAUAACAUGCAAAAUUUAUAUAUGCCAUACUGAGUAACUAUUUUACUAUUGUGAUUUAUCUGUUUAAUUAUUAACUUUGUCAGUCACUUACUAACCACACAAUUUUAGUUGGCCUCUGAACAGAGGAAACUGGGAGCGGAAACUUUGCGAUUGACUCGUAACUACAUUUGGUGCUGAGACAAGCCCCACCUCCUUUUCCCAGGGCAACCGACUUACAGAAUAUUAAAGAAAUGAACAUGUAAGGGAUUAAUGUGUCGCAGAACUGACAUGAAAGUUUAUGGCGACUCAUUUGAAGGACGAGGUACAGCCUCUCCACUAAUUUUUGUAAAAAAUAUUAACAAUCACAAUGCACAUGGAUCAACACUAUUCAGAACAGCUACUUAUUGUUAUGGUGCACAAUACUGUUACAUAGCAAAAGUUGGCCAUGAGUGUAAACGUUCCGGAUCGGCACAAAGUCACACAAGUUCCACCGUUCACAGAGGUGCACCGUAAAAGUGUGCCACCAGUUACUAUGUAGUUCAUUUAUCUUGUAAUAGCUCUAUUAAGAAACUUUUUGUUGUUAUUGUCACUUACUUAAAUAUGCAGUGUAUUUAUCAUACAUUAUUUUCUUACACAUAAAGACAUUUGCCCAAGUUUGUAUUAUUAUAAUUAUUCUUAUUAUUGUGUUAACUUUGAUGACACCAGUUGCAUGUAAA